rnacentral:rRNA from 1 species
GACGAACGCUGGCGGCGUGCUUAACACAUGCAAGUCGAACGGAAAGGCCCUGCUUUUGUGGGGUGCUCGAGUGGCGAACGGGUGAGUAACACGUGAGUAACCUUCCCUUGACUUUGGGAUAACUUCAGGAAACUGGGGCUAAUACCGGAUAGGAGCUCCUGCUGCAUGGUGGGGGUUGGAAAGUUUCGGCGGUUGGGGAUGGACUCGCGGCUUAUCAGCUUGUUGGUGGGGUAGUUGCUUACCAAGGCUUUGACGGGUAGCCGGCCUGAGAGGGUGACCGGCAACAUUGGGACUGAGAUACGGCCCAGACUGCUACGGGAGGCAGCAGUGGGGAAUAGUGCACAAUGGGAGGAAGCCUGAUGCAGCAACGCCGCGUGCGGGAUGACGGCCUUCGGGUUGUAAACCGCUUUCGCAUGUGACGAAGCGUGAGUGACGGUAAUGGGUAAAGAAGCACCGGCUAACUACGUG